ensembl:lncRNA
UGGGAUGUCACACUGAGAUAUUUAAUGUAAACAUUUUUUAAAAGUGCAAUUUUAUCUUAUUUUUAUAUUUUGGUUAUGAUUACUCUUAUACAAAGAUGAUGUGUAUAUGUGUGUGUGUGUGUGAUGUCACUGAUAUCUGGAUAUCUGGCUCUCUGAUAAGAUCACAGAAAGGGUCACUUUUGAAAGAAAACACUGCCAGCUCACCAGUUCCCUUGGGCAUCUUGCUGGCUAGGUGCUGGAUAUUGUCUGGGGCCCCUACUUAUUGCUUUGGAGAAGGGGGUUCUCUUUCUUCAGAUGCUUCCCUGUCCACGCUGCUGAUCCCUCUUUACCAGAGUUUGCUGUGUAAGUACAGCAGCUUUUCUCUUGACUUUACCACAUCCUGCCUUUUUCUUGGGCUCCCCAGGUGGCUUAGUGGGUAGAGAACCCGCCUGCCAAUGCAGGAGAUGUGAGAGGGGCAGCUUUGAUCCUUGGGCUGGGAAGAUCCCCUGGGAGAGGGCAUGGCAACCCACUCCAGUAUUCUUGCUUGGAGAAUCCCCGUGGACAGAGGAGCCUGGUGGGCUACAGUCCAUGGGGUCACAAAGAGUCUGACAUGACUGAGCCACUGAGACACACACACAUGCAUUUUUUCUCGCAAGAUGAGCCACUUUCAUCUGCAAAGUCUCUGUAGGGUGUGUGCAUGACUGAGACACGGGGGUUAAGACUGAAGGCACCUGCACUCCGUCAGAAGGCAUUCUCUUGUAGGGACUUCCCCGGCCGUCCAGUGGUUAAGUCUCUGCACUCCCAAGGUAGAGGGUGCAGGUUUGAUUCCUGGUUGGAGAAUGAACAUCCCGCAUGCUACAUGGCAUGGCCUAAAAAAAUAAAAAUAUAAAAGGGUCUUGUGCAAGAGUUUCCCUGAAAUUGAUCUUGGCUUCCUCAACCACCUAUGGGGAAGUGGGGGCUGAAGACUUGGAUGAAGAGGGCUGGGGACCUACAGGAUUCCAUGAUCUCCAUCCUCUGUGCCUGGCAAGGCUAGUGCCUGGGCUUGAAUGCUGCUCCCAAGCCCUCCUCCUUCUCCUCCCUCAGGUCAGCCAGGGAGUGGAGUCUCCCUGGCCCAGCCCCAGCUUCAUGAGGCUGCUCUCCAGCUCAGCCAUUCCUGAUAGCACCCUUGUGUGGGAACUCUGACGUCCCCCUCCCUACCAGAGGAUCUGGGAAUGGCUGACUGUGACUGAAAUCGACCUUGCAUUCCUGGCCAGGGACACAUCUUCAAGGGAGCUGUUCCGAGUUCUGCACAGUGGCAGGUCUGCUGUCUGGCCCUCCACUGGGCUCCAGACUCUGCCUGUGUGAGCCUGCCCAACUUGUCCUGGGGUUCCCAGACUCUGGGUGGUGGCUCACCAUACUCUUGUCUUAGACUCAGCCUGGUACCUGUGGGAUACCAGAUGGCCACUCUUAUCUGGCCUUGUCCAUGAGUUCUUCCUGCCAGCUUUGGCCUGGGGGUGGUAGAUUGGGGGUCUCUCAGGUUCACCCCAUCCACUGGGAAGGGACGUUUGGGAACUGUAUUGGUUAUCUAUCACUGGACAACAAGUCACCCCAAGAUUAAGUAGUUUAAGAAUAACAAUAAUCUGUCUUCUUCAUAAAUUUUCAAUUUGGGGUGCUCGUGGCACAAGCUGAGGGGUCUUGUCCAAGAUGGUAUACAUGCAUGGCACGUAGCUCCUGGCUCUCCACCAACUCCCUGGUUCAUAUGAUCCUCCCAACAUCUGCUGGGCACCAUCCCUUGGCUGUGCAGUGCCGGGAACGAACCCACAUUUCUCCAGGGCCGGUAGUGAGACAGACGGAUGAGCAUCCUGUGUGGAUCAGGCAAGGUUGAGGGAGAAUCCUGCCCAGGGAAAGUCCCUGGAAGGAAAGUGGGGUUGUCUUGGUGGGCCUGCAAGGAGGUACAGAUGUACAUGGAGGUUGGGAGAGGACAGUCAGUCUUGGGGAGGGUAAAAGACUCCCCACUCACUGCUUGGCUGAGGCAGGUGGCUGAGAUUUUCCCCGCAGCUACUUUGCCUUAGCAGAGGAGCAGCUGGUGAGAGCUGGAGGCACAUUUUCUGGUGUGCAGUAGAGGUGAUGAUUUUGGAGAGUUUUGGCGGCCAGACCUGGGUACUGUGUCAGAGGCAGUCAUGAGUGAGACAGGAUGCAGGAGGUGCCAGGGCUAUAGCUCCUGUUCAUGGGCCAGAGGAUGCGCUGCCUGCUGUGGGGGCACUGUGGGAGGAAGGCCAUUCCUGGAAUUCCUCCCUGUCAGGGGAAGCCCAGACCCCAGGCUUGGCUAGGAGGUCCUGACUCCCAACCCUGUGCCAGCCUCUCCCCG